GUGCUCAAUAGUUUAUAUUAAGUUUAAAACUACUACUCGAAAGGUAGUCAAACUCGGUGCAAGUCCGAGUUGAGACU
rnacentral:tRNA from 1 species